rnacentral:lncRNA from 1 species
GGAAAUCAACAAACUUUUGUCAGUUUUGCCAAAAAAAAUAUAUAUCUUUUUGUCAAGAACUUGGCCAAUUUUCUGCGGUUACGUACACCAGUAAAUCGUGGUGCCUCCACUAUUAGUACUCGGCCUUGUCGACUUAAGAACAAUUAUCAGUUAUGUAUGAAUAUGUUUUUUUCUUUACACCAGAAACAUCUCAUGUAAGAGAUCCUAAAAUACCCAGGUGCCAGUUCACCCUAUCUAACAUUUUUCAGCUAGCAGCAAUCAGAAGUUUACAAAACAAACCAAACCAAACCUCACACACUUUGACUUUCUUCGGCGAUCGAAUGUCUCAUAAAAUGGUUAAUGAUACAAAGAGGUACGCUCUUCUUCUGCCUCAAAGUCCUCCGCUUGGAGGCCUUUGAGGGAGAAGGAGAGAAAACUCCUUGAAGACCACUCCUUAGUCCUUCCUCUUCGCAGUUCUUGUCUGCGAG